rnacentral:rRNA from 1 species
AGCUCCAAUAGCGUAUAUUAAAGUUGUUGCAGUUAAAAAGCUCGUAGUUGAAUUUUUGAUGCGGCCGAUCGGAGCGGCCUAACGGUUGCUACUGAGAGGACGUGUCUUUCCUUCUGGGGAGCCAUGAUGCAAUUUGUUUUGUGUUGUGGGGAACCAGGACUUUUACCUUGAAAAAAUUAGAGUGUUUAAAGCAGGCUUAGGCUUGAAUAUAUUAGCAUGGAAUAAUAGAAUAGGACUUUGGUUCUAUUUUGUUGGUUUUUAGGACUAAAGUAAUGAUUAAUAGGGACAGUUGGGGGCAUUAGUAUUUAAUUGUCAGAGGUGAAAUUCUUGGAUUUAUGAAAGACUAACUUCUGCGAAAGCAUUUGCCAAGGAUGUUUUCAUUAAUCAAGAACGAAAGUAG